UACGAAGGGUGCAAGCGUUACUCGGAAUUACUGGGCGUAAAGCGUGCGUAGGUGGUUCGUUAAGUCUGAUGUGAAAGCCCUGGGCUCAACCUGGGAAUGGCAUUGGAAACUGGCGACCUAGAGUGCGGUAGAGGGUAGUGGAAUUCCCGGUGUAGCAGUGAAAUGCGUAGAGAUCGGGAGGAACAUCCGUGGCGAAGGCGACUACCUGGACCAGCACUGACACUGAGGCGCGAAAGCGUGGGGAGCGAACAGG
rnacentral:rRNA from 1 species